GAUGAACGCUGACAGAAUGCUUAACACAUGCAAGUCUUUGGCGAAGCUGUGCUUGCACAGCCUAGCCAAGGCGGACGGGUGAGUAACGCGUAAGGAACUUGCCCUGCAGUCAGGGAUAACAGACGGAAACGACUGAUAAGACCUGGUAAAGUCAGGCGGACUCAUGUCCAGCCUGAUGAAAAGAGAUGCUGCAGGAGAGCCUUGCGUCCUAUUAGCUUGUUGGUGGGGUAACGGCCCACCAAGGCGAUGAUAGGUAGCCGGCCUGAGAGGGUGGACGGCCACAAGGGGACUGAGACACGGCCCUUACUCCUACGGGAGGCAGCAGGGGGGAAUAUUGGACAAUGGGGGCAACCCUGAUCCAGCAAUUCUGUGUGCACGAUGAAGGUUUUCGGAUUGUAAAGUGCUUUCAGCAGGGAAGAAAAAAAUGACGGUACCUGCAGAAGAAGCGACGGCUAAAUACGUG
rnacentral:rRNA from 1 species